UCUCAAAAUGAGUGCUGACAAUAUCAAUUCUGAUGAAAGUAAGUUCAUUAUAUUGAUGAAUUAGUUGAUAAAUAACCUAUCAAUUCAUUCCUAGCUGUGAUCAAAGUAAAGCUAUCUAGUGAAGAUUAUCAUGACAUUGUGAUCGACUGGACGGAUACAAGUCAAGCAUAUGAACAACAAGUGUUUAGCCGACUUGCAGAAAUAUCAGGAAUACCGGUUGAGCAAACUUUUGACAUUUAUUUUUUGGCUGGGAAUUACGGAGCGGAGUGUUUCCGAAACAAACGUGCAGAGCCUCAACUCGAGAAUACUCCUCUGUUGUGUAUGCGGAUACAAUUUAACAGAGAAAAUCUUCUGAACCUCAUGAAUGGCAAUGAACCUUUUCGUCUUGCUCUCCGGCUGCGAUGUGAUGACAAUAAACAUUUUUAUAUUGGUUACAAUUUCGUACCAGAAAGAUUGAUUGGCGAAACUGAAUGUACUCUAAAUUUUUGUCAUCACUUGGACAAUAAAGCUCAUUUGAACAAAUUGAGAGCCAUUGUAACUAAUGAUGCAUUGCAAUCACAAAUGGCGCAUUUGCUUGUUCAACCGAGGUGGCCAGAGAAUCAUGAAUUUCAUUUAGAGCGAUGGCAUGGAGCUUAUAGAAGAUUCAAUGUCAUGCAAUACUAUUACAGAACUUGUUAUCCUUUCCAUCAAACCGUGAUACUUACGUCUCGGCAUGUAAAUUAUGUGCCACCUCAACUCUAUCUGAGAACUCAUGGUUGACAAUAAGCUGCAUCAUCUUUACUGGAGUAGACAUGGCGUUAAUCAAAAGUUCUACUUCGAUAAUAAAAAUUGAAAACAUCUGAACAUCGCUUUCAAUAUCAAAACAUUUUUCUAAUUUACAUUUACUUAUGAGAUGUACAAACUGCAUUCAAUGUCUAACUCAAUGUGAAUCAGUGCAUCAUCAUUAAACAACCAACAUUUAUAUAAUUUAUAUUCAUUUAUUAGAUUUACUUAUCAAUGAUAGUGUUGAAAUUUGCUUUGUAUUUAUUUAAUAUGCGGAGUUUUGUGUAACUUGUUUAUGUUUGCUGUGCAGUUCGUUAGAUGCACAAGAAUAAUAAUCGAUAAACUCUCUUCAAUGAAUGCAUCUUUAAGUUUCUAAUUGGAGAGUUUGAUAGUUCAAUAGUUGAGAAUAUAAUCAUUGAUUUUCCAUGAUAUUCCUGUGGGGAAAUAA